rnacentral:rRNA from 1 species
CACCAGGUUGAUUCUGCCUGACGUAGACGCUAUUCCCUAAGAUUAACCCAUGCAUGUUUUUGACAUUUGAAAAAUGGACUGCUCAGUAAUACUCACUUUAUUUUAUGUAAAUUUUUGAUUAAUUAACUACGUUAAAGUGUAGAUAAGAUGUUUACAGUAAGAGUGAGACCUAUCAGCUAGUUGUUAAGGUAAUGGCUUAACAAGGCUGUGACGGGUAACGGUAUUACUUUGUAAUAUUCCGGAGAAGGAGCCUGAGAGACGGCUACUAAGUCUAAGGAUUGUGCAGCAGGGGCGAAACUUGACCUAUGGAUUUUAUCUGAGGCAGUUAUGGGAAGUAAUAUUAUAUUGUUUCAUAUUUUAAAAGUAUAUGAGGUGAUUAAUUGGAGGGCAAAUCAAGUGCCAGCAGCCGCGGUAAUACUUGUUCCAAGAGUGUGUAUGAUGAUUGAUGCAGUUAAAAAGUCCGUAGUUUAUUUUUUUAAGAAGCAAUAUGAGGUGUACUGUAUAGUUGGGAGAAAGAUGAAAUGUGACGACCCUGACUGGACGAACAGAAGCGAAAGCU